AGAGCACCUGAAGGACAUCAUGUUGUGUUGCAUCAUUCUCCACAACAUGAUUGUGGAGCACGAAGGUGAAGCGGCUGCCAACUGGAGAGAUGAUGACGGGGCGUCUAGCAGUGCUUCGACGGAGAGUGCUGGACAAACACCGGUGUCCUUCGAGGAAUAUGUGCGAAGGGAUACAAUUCUCCGAGAUAGACAUCUACAUGGUCAGCUCCGAAAUGAUUUGGUGGAGCACCUUUGGGCACGUUUCGGACCUCUAGGGCCAGAGUAGUUAAUUUUUAGGAAUUAUUUUUAUUUUAUUUAAGUUUUAUGUAAUAUUUAGGAUUUUAUAAUUAAUGCA
rnacentral:lncRNA from 1 species